AAUCUUGAAAAACAGCUUUAUUUGCCCUAUACUUAUAGAUGCUGGCUUAGGCCAGAUAUGGCGCUAAACGUGGUUACGGAAUAAGCGUCGUGGACCCGGGGGCAGUACCCGGCGACUCCACCAGAAUUCGUAGUUAGUGAAGGCAAAGCCUGAGCGUUACGAGAAUAACUGUCCUGCGAAGCCUUGGCGAAGCGGGACUGAGUGUGACAGAAUUAGCCCUCCUUCGCUCCUUUUGGAGCUACGCAGGGCGCUCAUAAUUCUUAAGUUCACUCGUCUUUCUCGUUCACUAACGAAUUAUGGCGGGGUCGAAAUAGCUUCGACACGCGUAAUAAAGGUAAUUUUCGGCGCUCGGAACGAUAUCCGCCGUAAUGGAUCAUUUUUAUAAAUGCAAACGAUAACUCUCGUUUCGUAGCGUCUAACGAUAACUUCGUUGGAUCAGAAGCUAUUGCUGCCUAAUUUGGCGGUGUAGUUUGCUACAGCAUCAAUCCCUUAUUCUAAACCAAUAAGGUGGGGGCUGGUCCACCUCGCAACAGAACGGACCAUU
rnacentral:tmRNA from 1 species